GGCGAACGGGUGAGUAACACGUGGGUAAUCUGCCUCGAAGUGGGGGGAUAACUAUUGGAAACGAUAGCUAAUACCGCAUAGUCUUUUUUACAUGGGAAUGUAGAUGAGUAAAGCUCCGGUGCUUCGAGAGGAGCCUGCGUCCAAUUAGCUAGUUGGUGGGGUAAAAGCCCACCAAGGCGACGAUUGGUAGCUGGUCUGAGAGGACGAUCAGUCACACGGGAACUGAGACACGGUCCCG
rnacentral:rRNA from 1 species